GGGGAUGUAAAGGUUUCGACGGGGAUUUCAAGCCAUGGUAAGCGAGCAGCGGUGCGGAACCGCUAUAAAAUCCGUAACUUAAAAAUAACUAACAACAAUAAAGUUGCUUUAGCUGCUUAAUGCAGCUCGUUCUUCCUCGGAGUACCACGGCUGAGGUAAGGGCGUCGAUUAGUGGUAAAUGUGAAUCAAAGAGUGUUUCGGCUUUGGUCACACAAUAGAAACUACCGACUUAUGAAUCCUGUUGUUGGGAGUCAUAAUGGGGGAAUCCCAAAACAAUAACUGCGCUCGGAGAAAGCCGUGAGGCGAGAUUUUCGGACAGGAGUUCGACUCUCCUCAUCUCCACCA
rnacentral:tmRNA from 2 species